rnacentral:tRNA from 1 species
GGUGCUGUGGUGCAGCAGGUUAGCACCCUGGCCUGAAAUGCCAGCAUCCCAUAUGGGCACGGGUUCGAGGCCCAGCUGCUCUU